GACUCGGUAGCGCAACGGUAGCGCGUCUGACUCCAGAUCAGAAGGUUGCGUGUUCAAAUCACGUCCGGGUCA
rnacentral:tRNA from 1 species